rnacentral:lncRNA from 1 species
GCAUCAUCCAGUUCCUUGGGGCAAAAAUAGAAAAAAAAGGCAGAGGGAAGAGGAAUUCACUCUUUUUUGCUUCCUGCCUGCGUUCUGGAGCUGGAACACCUCAUCUCAUCUUUGCCCUGACUCGUAUUCACACAUUAGAUCUCCUAGUUCUUAGGCCUUUGGACUUGGACUGAAUUUUAGCACCAGCUUUCCUAGAUCACCAGUUUGCAAAAGAGUGAGCACUAAAGGCUCAGCUAGCACCUCUACAUGCAAUGCAAAAGAAGAAAUAAAGGGGCCAGGCAUGGUGGCUCACGCGUGUAAUCCUAACACAUUGGGAGGCCGAGGUGGAUGGAUCACUCGAGAUGGGGAGUUCGAGACCAGCCUGGCCAACAUGGAGAAACGCUGUCUCUACCAAAAAUACAAAAAUUACCCGGGCAUGGUAGCACAUACUUGUAGUACCAGCUACAUGGGAGGUUGAGGCAGCAGAAUUGCUUGAAUCCGUGAGGCAGAGGUUCAGUGAGCGGAGAUUGCAACACUGCACUCCAGCUUGGUCAAUAGAGCAAGACUGUCUCCAAAAAAAAAAAAAAAAAAAGAACAAAAGAUUGCCUAGUGUUACUUUGCCUAGUGUUAAUGCUAAUUAAACCUCUUUCAGUAAUUUUCCCAAACCCUCAUAUAAUUUCUGAUGAAUCACAAUGUAUUUAAAUAUCUAUAUAAAACUUAUUGGUAUAUGAAUGUUCUUUCAUGGAGCCC